GGGUUGUGAGGUUAAGCGACUAAGCGUACACGGUGGAUGCCCUGGCAGUCAGAGGCGAUGAAGGACGUGCUAAUCUGCGAUAAGCGUCGGUAAGGUGAUAUGAACCGUUAUAACCGGCGAUUUCCGAAUGGGGAAACCCAGUGUGUUUCGACACACUAUCAUUAACUGAAUCCAUAGGUUAAUGAGGCGAACCGGGGGAACUGAAACAUCUAAGUACCCCGAGGAAAAGAAAUCAACCGAGAUUCCCCCAGUAGCGGCGAGCGAACGGGGAGCAGCCCAGAGCCUGAAUCAGUGUGUGUGUUAGUGGAAGCGUCUGGAAAGGCGCGCGAUACAGGGUGACAGCCCCGUACACAAAAAUGCACAUGCUGUGAGCUCGAUGAGUAGGGCGGGACACGUGGUAUCCUGUCUGAAUAUGGGGGGACCAUCCUCCAAGGCUAAAUACUCCUGACUGACCGAUAGUGAACCAGUACCGUGAGGGAAAGGCGAAAAGAACCCCGGCGAGGGGAGUGAAAAAGAACCUGAAACCGUGUACGUACAAGCAGUGGGAGCACGCUUAGGCGUGUGACUGCGUACCUUUUGUAUAAUGGGUCAGCGACUUAUAUUCUGUAGCAAGGUUAACCGAAUAGGGGAGCCGAAGGGAAACCGAGUCUUAACUGGGCGUUAAGUUGCAGGGUAUAGACCCGAAACCCGGUGAUCUAGCCAUGGGCAGGUUGAAGGUUGGGUAACACUAACUGGAGGACCGAACCGACUAAUGUUGAAAAAUUAGCGGAUGACUUGUGGCUGGGGGUGAAAGGCCAAUCAAACCGGGAGAUAGCUGGUUCUCCCCGAAAGCUAUUUAGGUAGCGCCUCGUGAAUUCAUCUCCGGGGGUAGAGCACUGUUUCGGCAAGGGGGUCAUCCCGACUUACCAACCCGAUGCAAACUGCGAAUACCGGAGAAUGUUAUCACGGGAGACACACGGCGGGUGCUAACGUCCGUCGUGAAGAGGGAAACAACCCAGACCGCCAGCUAAGGUCCCAAAGUCAUGGUUAAGUGGGAAACGAUGUGGGAAGGCCCAGACAGCCAGGAUGUUGGCUUAGAAGCAGCCAUCAUUUAAAGAAAGCGUAAUAGCUCACUGGUCGAGUCGGCCUGCGCGGAAGAUGUAACGGGGCUAAACCAUGCACCGAAGCUGCGGCAGCGACGCUGAUGCGUUGUUGGGUAGGGGAGCGUUCUGUAAGCCUGCGAAGGUGUGCUGUGAGGCAUGCUGGAGGUAUCAGAAGUGCGAAUGCUGACAUAAGUAACGAUAAAGCGGGUGAAAAGCCCGCUCGCCGGAAGACCAAGGGUUCCUGUCCAACGUUAAUCGGGGCAGGGUGAGUCGACCCCUAAGGCGAGGCCGAAAGGCGUAGUCGAUGGGAAACAGGUUAAUAUUCCUGUACUUGGUGUUACUGCGAAGGGGGGACGGAGAAGGCUAUGUUGGCCGGGCGACGGUUGUCCCGGUUUAAGCGUGUAGGCUGGUUUUCCAGGCAAAUCCGGAAAAUCAAGGCUGAGGCGUGAUGACGAGGCACUACGGUGCUGAAGCAACAAAUGCCCUGCUUCCAGGAAAAGCCUCUAAGCAUCAGGUAACAUCAAAUCGUACCCCAAACCGACACAGGUGGUCAGGUAGAGAAUACCAAGGCGCUUGAGAGAACUCGGGUGAAGGAACUAGGCAAAAUGGUGCCGUAACUUCGGGAGAAGGCACGCUGAUAUGUAGGUGAGGUCCCUCGCGGAUGGAGCUGAAAUCAGUCGAAGAUACCAGCUGGCUGCAACUGUUUAUUAAAAACACAGCACUGUGCAAACACGAAAGUGGACGUAUACGGUGUGACGCCUGCCCGGUGCCGGAAGGUUAAUUGAUGGGGUUAGCGCAAGCGAAGCUCUUGAUCGAAGCCCCGGUAAACGGCGGCCGUAACUAUAACGGUCCUAAGGUAGCGAAAUUCCUUGUCGGGUAAGUUCCGACCUGCACGAAUGGCGUAAUGAUGGCCAGGCUGUCUCCACCCGAGACUCAGUGAAAUUGAACUCGCUGUGAAGAUGCAGUGUACCCGCGGCAAGACGGAAAGACCCCGUGAACCUUUACUAUAGCUUGACACUGAACAUUGAGCCUUGAUGUGUAGGAUAGGUGGGAGGCUUUGAAGUGUGGACGCCAGUCUGCAUGGAGCCGACCUUGAAAUACCACCCUUUAAUGUUUGAUGUUCUAACGUUGACCCGUAAUCCGGGUUGCGGACAGUGUCUGGUGGGUAGUUUGACUGGGGCGGUCUCCUCCUAAAGAGUAACGGAGGAGCACGAAGGUUGGCUAAUCCUGGUCGGACAUCAGGAGGUUAGUGCAAUGGCAUAAGCCAGCUUGACUGCGAGCGUGACGGCGCGAGCAGGUGCGAAAGCAGGUCAUAGUGAUCCGGUGGUUCUGAAUGGAAGGGCCAUCGCUCAACGGAUAAAAGGUACUCCGGGGAUAACAGGCUGAUACCGCCCAAGAGUUCAUAUCGACGGCGGUGUUUGGCACCUCGAUGUCGGCUCAUCACAUCCUGGGGCUGAAGUAGGUCCCAAGGGUAUGGCUGUUCGCCAUUUAAAGUGGUACGCGAGCUGGGUUUAGAACGUCGUGAGACAGUUCGGUCCCUAUCUGCCGUGGGCGCUGGAGAACUGAGGGGGGCUGCUCCUAGUACGAGAGGACCGGAGUGGACGCAUCACUGGUGUUCGGGUUGUCAUGCCAAUGGCACUGCCCGGUAGCUAAAUGCGGAAGAGAUAAGUGCUGAAAGCAUCUAAGCACGAAACUUGCCCCGAGAUGAGUUCUCCCUGACUCCUUGAGAGUCCUGAAGGAACGUUGAAGACGACGACGUUGAUAGGCCGGGUGUGUAAGCGCAGCGAUGCGUUGAGCUAACCGGUACUAAUGAACCGUGAGGCUUAACCUUACAACGCCGAAGCUGUU
rnacentral:rRNA from 1 species